AUGCCAAUAUAUGGUUUUAAAAGAUAAAAUCAGUCCUUAUAUGUAAAGCAAUUUUUGGCUUUUCCCUCUAUUUCGAAAACUAUUUAAAAUAUAAAAAAAAACGUUUUAUACAAAAAUUUCACGAAAUUAUCUCUAUUCACGUCAAUAAUAUUUUUUAAGUAUAAUUUAAACUAUUAAAAAAAUUUUUUUAAAUAAUUAUUUUUUUGAAAUAUUAAUGUGAAUGAAUAGAAGUAAUUUUAUUGUAAAUCUUUUGUAUAAAACAUUUUUUGAUAUAUCGAAUAGUUUCCAAAAUAUAAUAAAAAAAGCUGAAAAUAGCUAUAUACAUAAGGGAUGAUAUCACCCCUUGAAACCAAAUAUGGCCCGCAACUAAUAGUUUUUAAAAUUACCUAAUUAUGUUACCUAAAUGUGUGUAAAGUUUCAUUAAAAUCGCAGUAAGACACUUCGAGAGGUUCUCUUGUUAGUUGAAAAAAUACAUUAAUUUAUCCAACACUGAUUACAUAACAUUUUAUUUGUGCAUUAACAGAUCAAAUUAAUUGUCUAUAUUAAAUAACUGUUUAAUUACAGAUUGAAGUAGAACAUUCCAGAAAUACCACUCUAACAUUCUGGGACAUUCCAAAAUUCUUAUCCAGAUGCUAACUCAAACAAAACAGAAAGAAUAUGUUCCACAUCUAAAAUCAGUAUUCUGAUAUAUAAUGGUCAUCCAUAUUAAUUAUUAAUAGCUCCAUAAAAGAAAAUAUUAUAUUAUAUGGAUAUUAUCAAUUCAGAAUAUGACUAUAGAUUAAAAAUGAUCAGUCAAAUGACAAAUUUUUUAAAGCAAUCUAACUCAUAAUACAAUUAUAUAAAGUUAAUUGUAACAAAUGAGCCCUCUCAGAAGCCGACUUAUAAAAAAAUUUAUUUCCAAAACAUACGACAAAAAGCCAUUCAAUUUAACAAUUAUUUAUUUAUAUCUCGACUUCUGAGAGAGCUCAUUUGUUAAAAAUUUACUGGUAACUCUCUAAUGUCAUCCCGGAGGUGUGUGCAAAUUAUAAAAAAAUGAGCCCUCUUAGAAGUCAAGAUUUAAAUAAAUAAUUGUUAAAUUGAAUGGCUUUUUGUUGUAUGUCUUGGAAAUAAAUUUGUUUAUAAGUCGGCUUCUGAGAGGGCUCAUUUGUUAAAAAUUUACUGGUAACUCUCUAAUGUCAUCCCAAAGGUGUGUGCAAAUUAUAAAAAAAUGAACCCUCUUAGAAGUCGACAUACAAACUUAUUUCCAGGAAUUUAAUUCCGAAUGCAACCUGUAAUUCUCUGAACAUCUUAUAUGAUGUUUUUAGCAUGUUUUUUUUGUUAAACCUAAAGUGUCACUUUGUACCACUGUUGUGUAGUGGUAUAUAAUGUAUGCUGUUAAAGUAGUUGCUUAGAAAAAUUUGUGAGAGCAGCAGACGCUGUGAGCGAAAACUUAAUUGAGAACCGCUGCGUCAAGCGUGUUGCGCAGCGACCAUCUGCUAAGUCCGUCUGCUAGUUUCAGCGUCAUAAGAAGAAAUACUAGUUAUACGCGCCAAAAAUUAUUAUUCUUUUUCUAACAUGAUAUCCAAAUUCUGUUAAUAAUUUGAGCAAAUUCGUGUCCAGCAUGCAAAUUUGUCUGUAAAAAUCACUUACAAUUAGUCUCAUUAUAUCCACAGAAAAAAAUAUCUAUUUUCGCAGGUUAAUGUAAUUGGCCUUACAUAAAGACUUUUAGCGUAUGAACCAAAUAAACAAUGAUUGACAUUUUGACAUUUGACACAUCAAUAUCGACAUAAUUAUUAAACUAUUAUGUACAAAUAUGUAUCUGAUUUUAUAUUAAAUUUAUUAUAGAUAAA